UGAAAUUGGGGUGAAAGUCAGGGAACGGGCAAUGAGUCCAUGUAUUUGUGUUUUCAGGGAGGUGUUAGGGAAAGGUGGAGGAAGGCGAAGAGAAGGCUAAGGAAGCCUAAGAACUGCGGCUGCAGAGUCACGGAAACACUUCGCUCCGCUCCAGGAUCACUGGCACAGGCCUUUGCCAGGGCGAACUCCGGGCAAGACCCGUGACCCCACCCCAGAAAACUCCCGACUCCCGGGCUGGAGAAGGUAGCCAAGAUCAUUCUCAGUUGCCAUAUGGCAAAGACACAGGAAGCUGCCCUGUGUAGAGACCCACAUGGCAAGGAACUGAGACAUCCUGCCAACAACCACCAGAGUCUGAGGCCUGCUGCCAUCACCACGUGAGUGAGACAUCUUAGAAGUGGAUCCUUCAGCCUAAGUCAAGCCUUCAGAUGAUUGCGUCUUGACUGCAGCCUCAUCAAAGACCUUGAACCAGAACCACCCAACUCAGUUACUCUCAAAUGCUUAACCCAUAGAAACUAUAGCGAUAUUGGUGUUGUGAAUAUUUUCUCCCAGAUUAUGGCUUGCUAUGGCAGUCAGCCCCCAAGAUGGACCCCAUUGAUUCUGGACUCCUGGUGCCAAAACCAUUGUACCCAGAUCAACUGCAAACAAGAACAGAGUUUUAAUGGAAAUUUUAAACAAGUAAGAUGAAAAUCCUGAAGCAUUUCUUUCAAGAAUUGUAACAGGAGAUGAAACAUGGCUUUACCAGUAUAAUCCCGAAGACAAAGUACAAUCAGAGCAAUGGCUACCAAGAGGUGGAAGUGGUCCAGUCAAAGCAAAAGCAGACCUGCCAAGAGCAAAGGUCGUGGGAAUAGUUUUUUGGGAUACUUAUUUUGCUUGUUGACUUUCUGAAGAGCCAAAGAACAAUAAUAUCUGCUUGUUUCAAGAGUGUUUUGAGAAAGUUUGCUAAAGCUUUAGCAGAAAAAUUCCUGGAAAAGCUUCACCAGUCUUUUUCUACCGCAACAAUGCUCCCACUCAUUCUUCUCAUCAAACAAGGGCAAUUUUACAAGACUUUCAAUGAGAAAUCAUUAGGCAUCGACCUUACAGUCCUAAUUUGGCUCUUUCUAACUUCUUUUUGUUUCCUAAUCUUAAAAAAUCUGCAAAGGGCUCCCAUUUUUCGUCAUUUAAUCAUGUAAAAAAGACAUGGUUAAAUUUCCAUGAAUCUCAAUUUUUUUAGGGAUGGAUUAAAUGACUGGUGUCAUCACUUACAACCAUGGUUGACCUCGAUGGAGCUUAUGUUGAGAAAUAAAGUUUAUAUUCUUUAUCUUUUAAUUCAAUUUUUCCAUGAACAUUUUGAAGUGCCUCAUAUUAUAAAUGAUAUUUCAUUGUUAGUGGUUCAUUAAUAGGGUAUUUAAAUACAAUUCUUUUUUAAUAUUAGUCCUGUACACUGAGAUCAUGUUUAAAAACCUAUUAGUUCUAGUAGUAUUUUAUAGAUUUCUUUUGAUUUUCUAUGUAUACAAUCAUGUUUCUCCAAAUAAAGAGUUUUAUUUUUUUCCUUCCA
rnacentral:lncRNA from 1 species